rnacentral:rRNA from 1 species
CCUACGGGAGGCUGCAGUGGGGAAUAUUGGGCAAUGGGCGCCAGCAUGACCCAGCAACGCCACGUGCAGGAAGAAGGCUUUCGGGUUGUAAACUUCUUUUGUCAGGGGAGAAGGAAGUGACGGUCACUGACGAAUAAGCUACGGCUAACUACGUGCCAGACGCCGCGGUACUCCGUAGGUGGCAAGCGUUCUCCGGAUUUACUGGGUGUAAUGGGCGUGUAGGCGGGACUGCAAGUCAGAUGUGACAUCCCCGGGCUCAACCUGAGGCCUGCAUUGGAAACUGUCAUUCUGGAGUACUGGAGAGGCAGACGGAAUUCCGAGUGUAGCGGUGAAAUGCGUAGAGAUUAGGAGGAACACCAGUGGCGAAGGCGGUCUGUUGGACAGCAACUGACGCUGAGGCGCGAAAGCGUGGGGAGCAAACAGGAUUAGAGACCCGAGUAGUC